rnacentral:rRNA from 1 species
GGGUGAGUAACACGUGGGUAACCUGCCUUAUGGAGGGGGAUAACAGAGAGAAAUCACUGCUAAUACCGCAUAAGCACACAGUACCGCAUGGUACAGGGUGAAAAGAUUUAUCGCUUAUAGAUGGGCUUGCGUCUGAUUAGCUAGUUGGUGAGAUAACAGCUCACCAAGGCGACGAUCAGUAGCCGGAUUGAGAGGUUGAACGGCCACAUUGGGACUGAGACACGGCCCAGACUCCUACGGGAGGCAGCAGUCGGGAAUAUUGCACAAUGGAGGAAACUCUGAUGCAGUGACACCGCGUAUAGGAAGAAGGUCUUAGGAUUGUAAGCUAUUGUCGUGUGAGAAGAAAAUGACCAUCACAGGAGGAAGCCCUGGCUAAAUAUGUGCCAGCAGCCGCGGUAAUACAUAUGGGGCGAGCGUUAUCCGGAUUUAUUGGGUGUAAAGGGUGCGUAGGCGGGAAAAUAAGUCAGUAUGUGAAAUCCCUCGGCUCAACUGAGGAACUGCAACUGAAACUAUUUUUCUUGAGUGUUGAAGGGGAAAGUGGAAUUCCUAGUGUAGCGGUGACAUGCGUAGAGAUUAGGAGGAACACCAGUGGCGAAGGCGACUUUCUGGGCAACAACUGACGCUGAGGCACGAAAGUGUGGGGAGCAAACAGGAUUAGAUACCCUGGUAGUCCACACCGUAAACGAUGGAUACUAGGAGUUGGCAAAAAUAUUGUCGGUUCCGCAGU